rnacentral:rRNA from 1 species
GAUGAACGCUAGCGGCAGGCCUAAUACAUGCAAGUCGAACGGUGUAGCAAUACACAGUGGCGCACGGGUGCGUAACACGUAUGCAACCUACCUAUUAUUGGGGGAUAGCCUUUGGAAACGGAGAUUAAUACCGCAUAAGACAGUGACAUGGCAUCAUGUAGCUGUUAAAGCUUUGGCGAUAAUAGAUGGGCAUGCGUCCAAUUAGUUAGUUGGUGAGGUAAUGGCUCACCAAGACGAUGAUUGGUAGGGGAUCUGAGAGGAUAAUCCCCCACACUGGCACUGAGGUACGGGCCAGACUCCUACGGGAGGCAGCAGUAGGGAAUAUUGGGCAAUGGACGGAAGUCUGACCCAGCCAUGCCGCGUGCAGGAUGACGGCGUUAUGCGUUGUAAACUGCUUUUUUAUAGGAAGAAGAAGCCCUUGCGAGGGAAAGUGACGGUACUAUAAGAAUAAGCACCGGCUAACUCCGUGCCAGCAGCCGCAGUAACAC